rnacentral:rRNA from 1 species
ACGCACGAUGGCGGCGUGCUUAACACAUGCAAGUCGAACGGAAAGGCCCUGCUUUUGUGGGGUGCUCGAGUGGCGAACGGGUGAGUAACACGUGAGUAACCUGCCCUUGACUUUGGGAUAACUUCAGGAAACUGGGGCUAAUACCGGAUAGGAGCUCCUGCUGCAUGGUGGGGGUUGGAAAGUUUCGGCGGUUGGGGAUGGACUCGCGGCUUAUCAGCUUGUUGGUGGGGUAGUGGCUUACCAAGGCUUUGACGGGUAGCCGGCCUGAGAGGGUGACCGGCCACAUUGGGACUGAGAUACGGCCCAGACUCCUACGGGAGGCAGCAGUGGGGAAUAUUGCACAAUGGGCGGAAGCCUGAUGCAGCAACGCCGCGUGCGGGAUGACGGCCUUCGGGUUGUAAACCGCUUUCGCCUGUGACGAAGCGUGAGUGACGGUAAUGGGUAAAGAAGCACCGGCUCCCUACGUG